UAGGGAAUCUUCGGCAAUGGACGAAAGUCUGACCGAGCAACGCCGCGUGAGUGAAGAAGGUUUUCGGAUCGUAAAACUCUGUUGUUAGAGAAGAACAAGGACGGUAGUAACUGAACGUCCCCUGACGGGAUCUAACCAGAAAGCCACGGCUAACUACGUGCCAGCAGCCGCGGUAAUACGUAGGUGGCAAGCGUUGUCCGGAUUUAUUGGGCGUAAAGCGAGCGCAGGCGGUUUCUUAAGUCUGAUGUGAAAGCCCCCGGCUCAACCGGGGAGGGUCAUUGGAAACUGGGAGACUUGAGUACAGAAGAGGAGAGUGGAAUUCCAUGUGUAGCGGUGAAAUGCGUAGAUAUAUGGAGGAACACCAGUGGCGAAGGCGGCUCUCUGGUCUUUAACUGACGCUGAGGCUCGAAAGCGUGGGGAGCAAACAGG
rnacentral:rRNA from 1 species